AGGGAUCAUUUGCGAAUGCUUGGCCAGCCAUGUUGCUGGAACUUGCUCAGCUCCCAAAACCUUGUGGGUUGAAGUCUGGUGGUUUGGCGCCCUUCGGGGCGCCACUUUCAUGCCAAAAAUGGAAUGUCGUCUGACGUUGAACUUUGAAUCAAAACUUUCAACACUGGAUCCCUUGGCUCUU
rnacentral:misc_RNA from 1 species